CAUAAUUGAAUGAACAUUAGGCGGUUUUGAAACAAUUAAAUCUAACUUAUUCCCAGGACCACUGACUGAAAUUACAUUCAUCAUUCCCCUGAAACAACUAAAAAAGCACAAAAAAUUGGACAUAAUUAUUCGAAGAUAAAGAAUAAGCAGCGAAUGAAAAUAAUCUUCUAAUAAUUUCGUCCCAAAUUGUCAUUGCUCACGUAAUUUUCAGCCAAGAAUUGCGGAAAAAUCUUGUCAUUGUUAUGUUCUAAAUCGAACUUAUAUUUGAAGAAAGAUAACAUAAUUGUACCAAUGAUUCAGAAUAAUUAAAGAACAUAAUCUCUGGAACAAACCGAUGUUUGAAAAUGUCCCCAUCUUUGGAACUUUAAACUGAAAUGUAAAGAAUUAUCCUGAAGAAAAGAGUGAAACAGUUGCAAUUUAUAAAAUGGGCAAGGAAAGAUUAUGAAAUAAAAAAACUAUAAAAGAAAUGGCUAAAUGGGUAUUUAAUAAAAGAAAGAAAAGUGUGAGAUGAAUAAUCAAAAGAAAUGAAGCAUCUUGAAAAGAAUGAAAGUGAGGAAACCGAAGAAGACGAAGAGGAAAAUGUAGUCCACCGUUACGAACAACUUGGUUGACCCAUGAUUUCCUUUCUUCUUCUUCGACUCAUCUAAUGCUUCGAGUUGCGCCAUUUAGCCAAGGUAUCUAGG
rnacentral:lncRNA from 1 species